rnacentral:lncRNA from 1 species
AAAACAUUUUGGUUAGCCUGUAAAUUUAAAUUUUUUAUUGGCUAAGUAUUAUAGUUCCCAAUCCCUGAACAUAAUACAGUAUAUCAUAUAAAUGACUUUCAUAAAUAUUUUCAGGCCAUAGUAAUUUUUCUAGACCUAUUUUUGGAAGUGAAGUAUUUAGGAAUAUACAGUAUAUAGAAUUAGGGGAAUAUUUCAUUCAGAAUUCUAUUGUUGGUGAAUUUAAUUCUGGUAUGAUAUGCUGUAUUAAUGUUACCUCCAGUAAAUACAAUUCCCUCCAGAUUUAGCUAUUACACUUCGGUGUUAGCUCUUGGUCAGUGUUUUAGAACAGUAGACAUAGUCUACGGUAAGGAAUAGUCUUAAUUGGUAAAACUAAGAUAGCUGAAUUUGGAAGGAACUCUUAAUAGUAAUGGAUUUGGGGAUUUUUUAGGUUCCUUGGUUAAUGUUUGUUUCUUUUGUCUGUUUCUUUUUCUUUCAUUUCUACACAUUCAUGCAGUAUUUCAUGGUUCUAUCAAAGCAGCAGUAAAAAAAAUACUCUUGACGCAUGAAAAUUAACUGUUCUUUUCCCUGGUUCAGCCUGAACUAUAUACCAGGCCCUGCUGAAAAUACCACCCAACAGUUUUCUUCUGCAGCUUAUCCAGUUUCUCUUAAGUGCCCUGUACAUAUUGUAUGUUUUAUGAUGAGAUGCAGUUUCUUAAUAUGUAUUACAGAAAUACUACUGGUAUUUGCAAAUAUGUA